UACGUAGGGUGCGAGCGUUGUCCGGAAUUACUGGGCGUAAAGAGCUCGUAGGUGGUUUGUCGCGUUGUCCGUGAAAACUCACAGCUCAACUGUGGGCGUGCGGGCGAUACGGGCAGACUGGAGUACUGCAGGGGAGACUGGAAUUCCUGGUGUAGCGGUGGAAUGCGCAGAUAUCAGGAGGAACACCGGUGGCGAAGGCGGGUCUCUGGGCCGAAAUUGACGCUGAGGAGCGAAAGCGUGGGGAGCGAACAGG
rnacentral:rRNA from 1 species